rnacentral:lncRNA from 1 species
UUUCAUUCAAAACUCAAUUUCUUUCUUGCUUAAAAUCAUAAAAUACAUUAAAACAUUUUAUAAAAACAUGAUUUUACCCUUCUAGAGGUUUUCGACAUCCGAGAUUCCACCGGACGGUAGGAAUUUCGAUACCGGAGUCUAGCCGGGUAUUACAUUCUUCCCCCCUUAAGAACAUUCGUCCCCGAAUGUUCACCAAACAAAC